rnacentral:tRNA from 1 species
GGGGACGUAGCUCAGGCGGGAGAGCGCCUGCUUUGCAAGCAGGAAGUCAGGGGUUCGAGUCCCCUCGUCUCCA